rnacentral:rRNA from 1 species
GUCUAUGACCAUACCACUCUGAACGUGCCCGAUUUCUUCUGAUCUCAGAAGCUCAGCAGGGUCGGGCCUGGUUAGUACUUGGAUGGGACACAAUACCCAACACUCACAAUUUAAAGGAGGAAAGGUUUAUUUUGGCU